rnacentral:rRNA from 1 species
CUAGCCGUAAACGCUGGGUACUAGGUGUAGGCGGUUUAGAUACUGUCUGUGCCGAAGUUAACGCAUUAAGUACCCCGCCUGGGGAGUACGAUCGCAAGGUUGAAACUCAAAGGAAUUGACGGGGGCCCGCACAAGCGGUGGAGCAUGUGGUUUAAUUCGAUGCUACGCGAAGAACCUUACCAGGGCUUGACAUUUAUCUGAAAGUUUAUGGAAACAUAGACCCUCUUUCGGGACAGAUAAACAGGUGG